CCUUCCAGGAGGCCAGACUCGCAGCCCGGGGCUCCGGGGGCGGCUCGAGGGUCUGAGCCAGCGCGUACUUUGCUGAGCACUGGGGAGACACAGAAAAUGAAAGCCAAGCAGUCCUGCCUCCCAAGGAGCUCCUGGUCUGGUGGGGGAGGAACACCCCAACAACUAUGUGCAGGAUCAUCUCAAGAAUGAACACAAGCAAGGAACAACCCUUUUCUCUUGCCAAGAUCUGUAGAGCGUUAGCUAAAGCUCAGCCUGAAAAGCAGGGGUGCAGGGCACCAAAAUCUCAGUGACUCUGCUUCUGAUUUUAACAUCCAGCAGUUGGUGUUUUUAAUUAUCUGUUCUUUGUCCUGGAAUUUUACGCUGGAUCGGGAUGAGUUUUUACUUCAGCGGCAAGAUUGCUCCAUCAAAGGACAUUUCUUCUCACCCUGACAGAGUUGUGGUUUUAAACCAAUAAGGAAUCCAUUAACGUGCAGCCACAAUGAAGAAAAUCACAUGUUGAAUUUAUCAUAGUCAUAUCAUAAAAGGAAAAACAGGCUGCAUAUAAUAGAGAUCUUUAGAUUCGUGUAGCGUCCUCUUUUUUUCUCUUCUACUUUGUAUACAGAAGUGCUCAUUUUAUUUGGUGUUUGUUCAGAAUUUUAAAGAAACGCUUUUCGAAAUUUCCUCAGUGAUGACAGUUACAACGUCCAAGAAUU